rnacentral:rRNA from 2 species
UGAGGAAUAUUGGUCAAUGGGCGAGAGCCUGAACCAGCCAAGUCGCGUGAAGGAUGACUGCCCUAUGGGUUGUAAACUUCUUUAGUCUGGGAGCAAAAAGCGCCACGCGUGGUGUAUUGAGCGUACCAGAAGAAUAAGCAUCGGCUAACUCCGUGCCAGCAGCCGCGGUAAUACGGAGGAUGCGAGCGUUAUCCGGAUUUAUUGGGUUUAAAGGGUGCGUAGGCGGUUUAUUAAGUCAGCGGUUAAAUGUCGGGGCUCAACCCCGGCCUGCCGUUGAAACUGAUAAUCUAGAGUUGCAGCGGAGCAUGCGGAAUGCGCAGUGUAGCGGUGAAAUGCAUAGAUAUUGCGCAGAACUCCGAUCGCGAAGGCAGCGUGCUAGUUGCAUACUGACGCUGAGGCACGAAAGCGCGGGUAUCGAACAGG